GGGAAUUUUGGGCAAUGGGCGAAAGCCUGACCCAGCAACGCCGCGUGAAGGAUGAAGUAUUUCGGUAUGUAAACUUCGAAAGAAUGGGAAGAAUCAAUGACGGUACCAUUUAUAAGGUCCGGCUAACUACGUGCCAGCAGCCGCGGUAAUACGUAGGGACCAAGCGUUGUUCGGAUUUACUGGGCGUAAAGGGCGCGUAGGCGGCAAUUCAAGUCAGCUGUGAAAUCUCUGGGCUUAACCCAGAACGGCCAGCUGAUACUGCUUUGCUAGAGUGCGGUAGGGGCAAUCGGAAUUCUCGGUGUAGCGGUGAAAUGCGUAGAUAUCGAGAGGAACACCUGAGGUGAAGACGGGUUGCUGGGCCGACACUGACGCUGAGGCGCGAAAGCCAGGGGAGCAAA
rnacentral:rRNA from 1 species